CUUAAGCGCCUGAGCCAUACGCGUAGUGUCAUCUGUCAAACGGCCUCUUUGUUUAUUUUCGGGAUUCCUGUAUUUUCAUUCAUUUUUGGUUUAAAAAGGAAAAAGGCCAUAUUUUAGUGUUUUUUUAAAUUGCUAGGAUGGCAAAAACUUGUGUCGUUUGUGCCUGAUCAUGAUAAAAAGGUGAUUCCAGCCGAUCUUUUCACAAGAUUUCUGAUGCACUAGUUAAAAACACAGCAGCCGAUAAUUCAGUUAAUUUACCAAGUAAUUUACCCUUCAAAGCUGCAGGUGUAGUUUUCCUGAAGAGUGCAAAAACUUCUUUAGCUUCCAAAAUGGUAUAUAGUACAAACUGUGAAGCUAAUUUAGACAAGUAUGGAUAACUACAAUAGAUUAAUAUUCUUGAUACACCAAAUUUUGUAUAAUUACAGAUCUGAUCAUUCAUCAUCAACAAUAACUGCAUCUGAGAUUAAUAGUUACCGUGGGGUCUAGGUCAAUAAUUACUAUUUCUCAUCCAAGCCGUUUUUGUUUAACUGCUACAUAUUCCCUGACUCUGCAAAGGAAAAGGGUAAAAUCAAAAUGAUAUCCUGAGGACCUAAGCACUGAUGAUUCUACCGUUUUAAAAGCAAAAUCACUUGUCACCAAAUUAUGGAAAAAAAAUAAAGAACAAAAAAUUAAAACCUGCAACUCCUUCACAAUUUGAACAUUUUUGUAGUUUUAACUCUUUCCGCUGAAGCAAUACUGUCCCUUUGAAAAAGUCAGCACCAUAGAAGUAUAU